rnacentral:rRNA from 1 species
UCUACGUCGGCGACCGGCGCACGGGUGCGUAACGCGUAUGCAACCUACCCAUUACAGGGGGAUAACACUGAGAAAUCGGUACUAAUACCCCAUAACAUCCAGGGAGGCAUCUUCUUGGGUUGAAAACUCCGGUGGUAAUGGAUGGGCAUGCGUUGUAUUAGUUAGUUGGUGGGGUAACGGCUCACCAAGACAACGAUACAUAGGGGGACUGAGAGGUUAACCCCCCACAUUGGUACUGAGACACGGCCAAACUCCUACGGGAGGCAGCAG